rfam:Bacillus marisflavi strain JCM 11544 super9, whole genome shotgun sequence.
CAAUUAUCAAGAGCGACCGAGGGAUCAGGCCCUAUGACGUCCGGCAACCUCCAUAUGGAACGGUGCUAAUUCCUGCAGGAUGUUUUUCAUUCUGAGAGAUAAGUC